AGUGGAAUAGCUGGGUCAAAUGGUGAUACCAUUUCUAGUUUUUUGAAGAAUCUCCAUACUGCUCUCCAGAAUGGUUCUACUAAUUUGUAGUCCCACCAACAAU
rnacentral:pre_miRNA from 1 species